AUGGUGGAAGUGCAGUCGUUUUAUCAGAACUUGUACUCCUCACAAGGACAAAAUGAUAUGAACGAGCUGCUCCAGUUUGUCCCUGAGCGUGUAACAGGUGACAUGAACAUGAUGCUUGAUAAACCCUAUGAACCGGAGGAGGUCCGUAUAGCCCUAUUUCAAAUGUCAUCAUCGAAGGCCCCGGGAGUGGAUGGGUUUACGGCAGGCUUCUUUCAACGACGCUAGAAGAUCAUUCAACAUGAUCUCGUUCCAGCUAUCUUGGGGUUUCUUAAUGGUGGUGAGCUUCCUUUGGGGUUUAAUGACACUUCGAUCACUCUUAUACACAAGGUACGCAACCCCCAGAGUAUAACUCAAUUCCGACCAAUAUCAUUAUGUCCGGUGCCCUACAAGAUUGGGGCAAAGAUGAUUACUAAUCGUUUAAAAGAGUUUAUGGAUAUAGUGGUUGGCGAAGAACAAAGCGCGUUUGUCCCUGGUAGGUUGAUCACUGAUAAUGUGGUGGUUGCUUUUGAGAGCGUCCACACAAUGAGACGGAGGAAGAAGGGGAAAAACUAUGCGUGUGCUGUCAAGCUAGACAUGAUGAAGGCCUACGACCGAGUCGAGUGGCAUUACCUCGAGGCAAUCAUGACUAAGCUUGGGUUUAGCCGGAGUUUUGUUUCUCUCAUAAUGAAGUGUGUUACUUCGGUUCGGUUCACAAUCAGAGUUAAUGGAGAACUUCUGCCAUAUUUUGUUCCCUCAAGAGGACUUCGGCAGGGAGACCCCCUUUCCCCUUAUUUAUUUUUGAUUUGUGCAGAGGGACUAUCUAGGUUAUUGGCUCAUAAAGAGGAGGUUCGUGGUAUAGAAGGAGUAAGGGUUAGUAGAAAUGCACCAUCAGUGUCACACUUGCUAUUUGCUGAUGAUUCCCUUAUCCUUAUGAAAGCAGAUAUGACUAAUGCAACCUCAUUGAGACAAACACUAGAUCAAUAUUGUGCAAGCUCUGGACAGCUGGUGAGUGAAGCAAAAUGUAGCAUCUUCUUCAGUCCCAAUGUAAGUGUAGAAGUAAAGGUUGAUAUAUGUACCGAGCUCAAUAUUAUGUCAGAAGCCCUUUCUGAUAAGUACUUGGGUUUGCCUGCUAUGGUGGGUGUGGAUAGAAGUGAUAGCUUUGUUCAUUUAGAAAGGAUCAUAACAAGACUCAAAAAUUGGAAGGAAAAAUUUCUGUCUAUGGGUGGAAAGGAAAUCUUACUGAAAGCGGUCAUACAAUCAAUUCCUUUGUUUGCUAUGUCGGUGUUUAAUAUCCCGAAGAAACUAUGUAAAGAGAUGACAUAUGUGAUGGCUGAGUUUUGGUGGAGUAACUCAGAGAACCAUAAGCGUAUGCACUGGAUGGCAUGGUGGAGGAUGUGUAUUCCUAAAAGGGAUGGAGGUAUGGGAUUUCGAGAUCUACACUCUUUUAAUUUGGCAAUGCUUGCAAAACAGUCUUGGAGGCUCAUCUCAAAUUCUGAUUCCCUUUGUGCUAAAGUUUUGAAAGCAAAGUAUUUUCCUGACUACUCCUUAAUUAGAGCUGGUCCAAAGAAGGGGUCCUCCUUUACAUGGCAGAGUAUUGUGGCAGGUUUGAACACCUUUUGA
rnacentral:rRNA from 1 species